ACUCCCCCACGUUUUUUACACUCACGCCUCAAGGAUCUCACACACGUCGUCGUCGUCGCCCCUCUUUCUGCCGCCGUCGGUUCCCCUCUUGCUGCCGCAGCCAUUUCCCCUCUUGCUGCCGCCACCAGUUCUCCUCGUCUAUCCCGCUGCCCCUCUCACGGAACUCAAAUACUUGAAAGUUCAAUUGAUGUAAUGUUGCUCUCUGGAAAUCUACAAUUUUGGAAUUCGCACGACUGUUGUUGCUGAUAUUGUGUUUGAAGAAUUAAUUAUGUCCACCAUAAGUAUGUGCAGUGAUGGUGCAACAAGAAAAGGGGAUACUACCUGUGAAAUUUGUCAACGGGUUUGCUUCUUUAUUAAAUAAUUUGUUACACUAUCAUUCUAUGUAUGUUUAACACAAGGUUCCAGAUUUUCAAGCCAAGUUAUACAGCAUCACCCUCUCUUUGAGUGGGAUCCCCAUGAACAUAAGGUGAAGGUAUAAAAGGCCGCCGCGACUCAAAUCAAGAAUGCCAAGUUAUGGGAGGCCGCCUCGAAGAGAAUGAAACUAGAACCAUUCUUUGUCCAGUCUUGUCAUAAGAAUUAUGAGUUUGACCUCUAUUUUGUAAUUCAUUGUACAAUCUAAAGUAUGACAAUCUUGAACUUCAUGUAAUUUGCAAGAUAUAAAUCUAUGGAGUAUUAUUUUUGU